CCAGUUGAUGACGAUGACUUGGCUUCUCAAGUCCUUGCCGGUCUGGACUCCUUGGAAUAUAAUCCUGUUGUGUGUCAAUUGAAUGAAAAAGAACAUGUCAACU